UACAGAGGGUGCGAGCGUUAAUCGGAAUUACUGGGCGUAAAGGGCGCGUAGGCGGUUAUAUGUGUGGGAUGUGAAAGCCCUGGGCUUAACCUGGGAAGUGCAUACCAAACUGUAUAACUGGAGUAUAUGAGAGGGUAGCGGAAUUUCCGGUGUAGCGGUGAAAUGCGUAGAGAUCGGAAGGAACGCCGAUGGCGAAGGCAGCUACCUGGCAUAAUACUGACGCUGAGGCGCGAAAGCGUGGGGAGCAAACCGG
rnacentral:rRNA from 1 species